GACGAACCGAGCGAACGUUAUUCGGAAUCACUGGGCUUAAAGGGCGCGUAGGCGGGCCCGAAAGUCAGGGGUGAAAGCCCACGGCUCAACCGUGGAAGUGCCUCUGAUACUUCGGGCCUCGAGGGAGGUAGGGGCGUGCGGAACUUUCGGUGGAGCGGUGAAAUGCGUAGAUAUCGGAAGGAACGUCGGUGGCGAAAGCGGCGCGCUGGACCUCUUCUGACGCUGAGGCGCGAAGGCCAGGGGAGCGAACGGG
rnacentral:rRNA from 1 species